GGGGUGAAAGGUUAACUGCCUGUUGAUGAGCUCGCGUCUGAUUAGCUAGUAGGUGUGGUAAAGGCGCACCUAGGCGACGAUCAGUAGCUGGUCUGAGAGGACGAUCGGCCACACUGGGACUGAGACACGGCCCAGACUCCUACGGGAGGCAGCAGUGGGGAAUUUUCCGCAAUGGGCGAAAGCCUGACGGAGCAAUACCGCGUGAGGGAGGAAGGCUCUUGGGUCGUAAACCUCUUUUCUCAGGGAAGAACACAAUGACGGUACCUGAGGAAUAAGCAUCGGCUAACUCCGUGCCAGCAGCCGCGGUAAUACGGAGGAUGCAAGCGUUAUCCGGAAUGAUUGGGCGUAAAGCGUCCGCAGGUGGCGAUGUAAGUCUGCUGUUAAGGAGUCUAGCUCAACUAGAUAAGAGCAGUGGAAACUACAUAGCUAGAGUACGUUCGGGGCAGAGGGAAUUCCUGGUGUAGCGGUGAAAUGCGUAGAGAUCAGGAAGAACACCAGUG
rnacentral:rRNA from 1 species